rnacentral:rRNA from 1 species
CCUACGGGGUGCAGCAGUGGGGAAUAUUGCGCAAUGGGCGAAAGCCUGACGCAGCAAUUCCGCGUGGAGGAUGACGGUUUUCGGAUUGUAAACUCCUUUGAUCAGGGAAGAAUUUUUGACGGUACCUGAAGAACAAGCACCGGCUAACUUCGUGCCAGCAGCCGCGGUAAUACGAAGGGGGCUAGCGUUGUUCGGAAUUACUGGGCGUAAAGCGCGCGUAGGCGGAUAGAUAAGUCAGAGGUGAAAUCCCGGGGCUCAACCCCGGAAUUGCCUUUGAUACUGUUUAUCUUGAGUGCAGAAGAGGUAAGUGGAAUUCCGAGCGUAGAGGUGAAAUUCGUAGAUAUUCGGAGGAACACCAGUGGCGAAGGCGGCUUACUGGUCUGCAACUGACGCUGAGGCGCGAAAGCGUGGGGAGCAAACAGGAUUAGAUACCCGGGUAGUC